rnacentral:rRNA from 1 species
AUUGAACGCUGGCGGCAGGCCUAACACAUGCAAGUCGGACGGUAGCACAGAGGAGCUUGCUCCUCGGGUGACGAGUGGCGGACGGGUGAGUAAUGUCUGGGGAUCUGCCCGAUAGAGGGGGAUAACCACUGGAAACGGUGGCUAAUACCGCAUAACGUCGCAAGACCAAAGAGGGGGACCUUCGGGCCUCUCACUAUCGGAUGAACCCAGAUGGGAUUAGCUAGUAGGCGGGGUAACGGCCCACCUAGGCGACGAUCCCUAGCUGGUCUGGGAGGAUGACCAGCCACACUGGAACUGAGACACGGUCCAGACUCCAACGGGAGGCGGCAGUGGGGAAUAUUGCACAAUGGGCGCAAGCCUGAUGCAGCCAUGCCGCGUGUAUGAAGAAGGCCUUCGGGUUGUAAAGUACUUUCAGCGGGGAGGAAGGCGGUGAGGUUAAUAACCCUGCCGAUUGACGUUACCCGCAGAAGAAGCACCGGCUAACUCCGUGCCAGCAGCCGCCGUAA